rnacentral:rRNA from 1 species
GUGAGGAAUUUUCCGCAAUGGGCGAAAGCCUGACGGAGCAAUGCCGCGUGAAGGAUGAAGGCCUAUGGGUUGUAAACUUCUUUUCUCAGAAAAGAAUUAUGACGGUAUCUGAGGAAUAAGCAUCGGCUAACUCUGUGCCAGCAGCCGCGGUAAGACAGAGGAUGCAAGCGUUAUCCGGAAUGAUUGGGCGUAAAGCGUCGGUAGGUUGUUUAAAAAGUAUUCUGUCAAAGAUUAGGGCUUAACCCUAGAUAGGCAGAAUAAACUUUUAAGCUAGAGUUUGGUAGAGGCAGAGGGAAUUCCCGGUGGAGCGGUGAAAUGCGUAGAUAUCGGGAGGAACACCAAAGGCGAAGGCACUCUGCUGGGCCAAUACUAACACUGAGAGACGAAAGCGAGGGGAGCAAAUGGGAUUAGAAACCCGAGUAGUCC